rnacentral:rRNA from 1 species
UACGAAGGGGGCUAGCGUUGCUCGGAAUUACUGGGCGUAAAGCGCACGUAGGCGGCUUUCUAAGUCGGAGGUGAAAUCCUGGAGCUCAACUCCAGAACUGCCUUCGAUACUGGAGAGCUUGAGUCCGGGAGAGGUGAGUGGAACUGCGAGUGUAGAGGUGAAAUUCGUAGAUAUUCGCAAGAACACCAGUGGCGAAGGCGGCUCACUGGCCCGGUACUGACGCUGAGGUGCGAAAGCGUGGGGAGCGAACGGG